ACCAGGAUGGCCGAGUGGUGUAGGCGUUGGACUUAAGAUCCAAUGGGCAAUAGUCCUCGUGGGUGUGAACCCCACUCCUGGUA